AAGAGAUCAAUGGGUUAAACCAUCCAUGUUUGUGGAGAAUAAGGGCACGGUAUGAAACAAGAACCAACGUUUAUGAUGUAAAGUACUAAAUCAUAAACGAUAUCGUAUACAUUCGAGACUUAAGAUACAUGUAUGGAGGGCUGAUGUUAGUUGAACUAUAUAUGAUGCCCGAAGUGGUGCAAGUUCAAUUUAGUAAACGAUAGUGUAUACAUUCGAGACUUAAGAUUAGUUUAUAGAGGGUUGAUAUUGGCUAAUUUUAUGAAUCCCAAAAGAUGUGAAAUUAGAACCGAGAUUGAAACAAUUUGCAAUAGUUGGACUAAUUCUUGGGAGUUUAUUUUUUACAAUGGAAUGGUAGUAAAUGUUUGACAGAAGGAAAUGAUCAGUUUGGAGACAAAUGGAUCAUACAACGUCUACUGGUAUCAGCCGUCAUUGAACUGGUGUUCUUUUUAGUAGCAUUUCAAACAGAGGAGUUCCGACUCAUUGUUUAAAAUUCCAAAUCGAUUACAAUUUUCUUUUUCCUAUAUGUACUAUCAAGUGGUCUGUUGAAAUAUACAACAUUGUCCCUCUUGGAGACAGAGGGACGGACAUAUAUCCAUCUCUUAUACCUCUUAUUGUGCUGAUUUGUCACAUUAUUUGCAAAGGAUCUCGAUUACAGCAUAUCAUCAUGGUAACCACUGGUCUGCUGUCUUAAGGCGCAUUGUUUGUAUCGCUUGGUGUAAAUAAAGAUUUCACCAUGAAAAGAAUAGAUUACUUAUCGUUUUCCUCUGUAUUUGCAACUGUGUUGAAGCUGAUAUGCCUUAAACAUUUUAAAGAUAAAAAUAUCAAGGUCACACUACGUUUGAGAGCUAUUGGUAUAUUUUUUGCCGGAACUAUUGCAAUGUGCCGAUUCUAGAAUUCACGAAUCAUUCUAACUUUGGAACUUUUACGCUAGUGUCAUCUAUGUCUGGUUUAGCUUAUUAUACAAUCACGUGAUAUGUACAAAAACAGUUUUAGAGACAUCCGGGUUUCUCAUGAUGGGAUACCUAUUGCAUCAAAUAUUAGAAAGUGAAUCAAUAAAUAUUCUUCCAGUUUUAUUUGGUACUUGUUAUUUGAUUGCGACAUAUAUAUGGCACGUGCAACAGCAACUAGACGAUUCAAAAGCACUAUUUAAAGAUAUGUCGUCCACGAGUCAUGAAAUGUUUACCCGAAUUGAGUUUAUAAUAUUCAUGGGAGGUGUAAUAGUCGUGUUGUUUUACGUGUUACAACCACGUGUUAGUAGUAGGGAUAUAAAUAAUCUUAGUUAUGUUGGACUAGCCAAGAUUGUUAGGAAACUAUUGAGGAACAAAGUCAGUUGAUAAAUGUAUAGAGAGAGUUUGUUAAUUUAAAUGAUUUAGUAUAUUA